UAACAACGUAAAGUGAAUUAAAUUGUUAUGAAAUGAAGGCCUGGGCUGUGAUACAGCUUUAAGUAGCUAGCAUCAUUUAUCCCUCUCCUUCUGUCUCUCUAGAUAAAUGUACAAUAAACUAAAAACAUCUAAAACAAGAAGACCUUGGGCUGAGGAGCUAUUUUAUGAGUUCUGCCAUAGACUUUCAUGCCAGUGGCUGGAAGAACCCUUCAGUCCCUGAUACCUUUAGCUUGAGCUGACAGUGCUGUGGUGUUUCUCUGUGUGUUUUUCCCCCAGGCUUGGUGUCAGAUGAAAAAGAGGAGAAUAUUAGGAGAAAUACAGGAGCCCUUUGGUUGGUUCUAGUCUCCUAUAAGGUGCAUUCUGCUCCAUGUCCACAAGGGUCUUUCUCAGCCCUAUGUCUAAGUGUUACGGAAACCUCAGAACUACAGUCUGCCCUGCAGGUAACUUCAAAAUCCGAGUGAAGUGCGGAGCUGGAGUAUCACAGGGUUGUGUGGGCGGAGUCAGAACCUGGAGACCCGCCUGACCCACAGCUACCGGAGGACUCCCUGUGGGCGUGGCCAGCGAGUCCGCGCCUGCGCAGAUGCAGGACUCGGGCUGCUAAGGUGGUAUUGCAGGUCUGUCCCAUGUCCCAAGGACAGGGCUUCAGUGUGGACACAGGACUGUAUCGUCUGCGCUGGGGGAACAGCCUAGACCACAGUGAGGGUCACCAGGGCCCCAUGGCAGCCCCCCACACCCGGAAGCAUAGUUGGACACAGGGCUGUGCCGUCUGCGCUGGGGGAACAGCCUUGACUUGUGAGGGGUCACCAGCGCCCCACGGCAGCCCCCCGCACCCGGAAGCAUGUUUCACAAGGGAAGGAAAGAUCUAGAAGAGAAGCGGGAGCAGCACUGGACACUAGACACCGCAGGACUGCCACCGGCUGCAAGCCACUCCAGUGCCCACCCGAGUCCCUUCAGCGCUGGCCUGCACUUUGCAGGGGGCGGGGAGCCCCAGCCCCGCUUACCCAGGAGCCCAGUUGGUUGAAGAUUUGGGGCCCCUGGGCUGCUUACUCGAGCUGAAGAUGUUGGGCUUAGCAGAGUGACUGACACUGGGUUGAGGUCAUAUCACGGUUAGAGCCACAGUUUUGGGGGGCUCUGAACUUGUAGUGGGAAUGGCCACUGAGCCAGACCGAGAGGAAGCGGAAGCACAGGGUUCCCCUCAGCUCCGGCUCAGGAGGCCUUGGGCACACGGGUCCUGCGCUUUCCCACUGAGCUCUCUUCCUGGCCUGAGAGAUUUCUGCAGCAGGGAGAUGGGGCCGCAGGCAGAGCAAGGGACUUGCAUAUGUGAGGCCCAGAGUUUGGUCCCAGCCACUGCCAAGGCUGGAGUGAUACUCUGGUUCAUUCUCUAAUAAAUAUAUUUUUUAAAUGGUUCUUUUUAACAUACUUUUCCUUUUGUCCAGAGCCCCUAUCAUCUCUGGCUUGUGGU